GAUGAACGCUGGCUACAGGCUUAACACAUGCAAGUCGAGGGACCGGCGCACGGGUGAGUAACACGUAUACAACCUGCCCUUUACUCGGGGAUAGCCUUUCGACAGAACGAUUAAUACCCGAUAUAAAGGUAGGGGAUGGGUUCCUUUAGGUUGUUGGGGAGGUAACGGCUCACCAAGCCUUCGCUGGAUAGGGGUGCUGAGAGGAAGGUCCCCGACAUGGGAAGUGAGACACGGCCCACACGCCUACGGGAGGAAGCAGUAAGGAAUAUUGGUCAAUGGGGGCUAGCAGUAUGCAGCCACGUAGUGUGAAGGAUGAAGGAUUAUGGGGCGUAAACUUCUUUUAUAUAAGAAUAGGUAUUAUAUAAAUAAGGAUCGGCUAACUCCGUGCCAGCAGCCGCGGUAAUAC
rnacentral:rRNA from 1 species